rnacentral:rRNA from 1 species
UUGGACAAUGGGCGCAAGCCUGAUCCAGCCAUGCCGCGUGCGGGAAGAAGGCCUUCGGGUUGUAAACCGCUUUUGUCAGGGAAGAAAAGGUUCUGGCUAAUACCUGGGACUCAUGACGGUACCUGAAGAAUAAGCACCGGCUAACUACGUGCCAGCAGCCGCGGUAAUACGUAGGGUGCAAGCGUUAAUCGGAAUUACUGGGCGUAAAGCGCGCGUAGGUGGUUUGAUAAGCGAGAUGUGAAAGCCCCGGGCUCAACCUGGGAACGGCAUUUCGAACUGUCAGGCUAGAGUAUGGUAGAGGAGUGUGGAAUUUCCUGUGUAGCGGUGAAAUGCGUAGAUAUAGGAAGGAACACCAGUGGCGAAGGCGGCACUCUGGACCAAUACUGACACUGAGGUGCGAAAGCGUGGGGAGCAAACAGGAUUAG